UCCUGUCUUUCUGCUUUGCUUCUUUUGUUACGUUGCGACCACGUUGGUUUUUGGUUUAUAGUCCAUUAGGUGUUUUACUGUUUUUUCAAUCAUGAGUCACGUCCUAAUAAGAUGGCUAAAUACGGGCAGGACCCGCCUUUUUGACGUUGUGAGCAUAAGGGACAUCGUUGACACAAAAAUCGGGGCGCUUAUAAUUCACAAUAGCAAAGAUCCAAGCGUGUUUGCAACCGACGUACUGAUACGUUGGAAGGGCGAGAAACACCCGGCAAGGAUCGAGGCUGUCGGGAGCGCCGCACAAAUGGAGAAGCGGUGUCAGCAAAUAAC